AUCCAGCUGACGAGUCUCAAAUAGGAGGAAACGGAGUCCUGGAU
rnacentral:hammerhead_ribozyme from 1 species